rnacentral:rRNA from 1 species
AUUGAACGCUGGCGGCAGGCCUAACACAUGCAAGUCGAACGAGUGGCGGACGGGUGAGUAAUGUAUGGGAAACUGCCUGAUCGAGGGGGAUAACUACUGGAAACGGUAGCUAAUACCGCAUACCAUCAGAUGUGCCCAUAUGGGAUUAGCUAGUCGGUGGGGUAACGGCUCACCAAGGCGACGAUCCCUAGCUGGUCUGAGAGGAUGACCGGCCACACUGGGACUGAGACACGGCCCAGACUCCGACGGGAGGCAGCAGUGGGGAAUAUUGCACAAUGGGCGCAAGCCUGAUGCAGCCAUGCCGCGUGUAUGAAGAAGGCCUUCGGGUUGUAAAGUACUUUCAGCGGGGAGGCGUUACCCGCAGAAGAAGCACCGGCUAACUCCGUGCCAGCAGCCGCGGUAAUAC